rnacentral:lncRNA from 1 species
CCCAUCUCAAAUCUACACAAUCCAAAUUUUCUAUGACAUAAUAUUAGUGCGUAAAAAUUGAAAAAUAAAAUGAAACGUAAUAUACGACAAUUAUUGAAAGGUUAUGCUUGCUCACCCAACACAAAUCCCCUUUAACAGUUCGAAAUUCCAUCCAGAUUAUGGAUCCUUGACUUCAAAAAAUUGAAAAAAAAAAUCCCAAUCAAAUUCAAAAUCUGCUAAUCAUAGAGCAAAAAUUAGACUUUGAUUAGGUUACUUAAAUAGAGCAAAUUAUAAUAAUAUUAUAAAGCAUAGCAUUUUUGAAAUUUUAAGUAUGUUUAAGAAAAAAAUGCAGAACUGAAGGCAUCUGACAAGAUUCUGAUUUUGACUGACGCUCCUGAGGAGAGAGAUUGCAGUCAUCACAAUUAAUGCAUGCAGAAACUGCUUUAAUAUUUUGAACCAGCCCUGUCCACCAGAUUAGAUUAGCAAGCACCAGUGCCCCAACACAACAUAAAGUUAAAGUGUUAAACCACACCCCCCACACACACACCAAAAAAAAAUAAAAAAAAAAUUCCUUAACAAAUCACAAUCACAUAAUUGAAAAAAAAAAAAAAGAGAAAAGAAGAAGCAUAUUCACAAAGAAAAAGGAUAAUUCACAAUCACAUGAUCCUCUAGCUCAUUUCUCUUAGCAAACAGAAGGAAUCAGAGAAUUCAGAAUCUUACAAAUCCCUUCUAGGCAAAAUUAAAGCAGAUGAUGAAUUGAUGAUGAUGAUGAAAGAAGCCUUUUUUUUUAAAAAAAAAAAAACUUCUUUUCCCCCAUAUACAUCAUCAAUGAUACAAUUCCAAGCGCCUAGAGCAUAAACUACAAAAAUACUUCUUUUUAAUCUUGUAGCAGAUGGGCAAGAAGCAGAACCUGCACUGACUCUCGAAAUCAAUGGCUAAAACUUUGCCUCCACAGUACGGACAUGAACCUGGAGCUUGUUGCCUCCCCAGCUCCCUCUCUUCUUCUGAGCAGACGUACACUAAACACAUUUUCUUCCUCCUUUAUCUGAUCUCUCGGGACUAAUUAUUAUUUGGGUUAGGCUAAUGGGUGUUCUUUUCUCUUCUCUCUAUUAUUAUUAUUAUUAUUAUUUUAUAUUUUUUGAGUGUUUCGGUGGGGAAAAUGUAAACAGAGCAAACUGAAGGCUCUCGAAAUGAUGUUGUGUCCAGACAGCAUUUAUAUAGAACACCAUACGGGUUGGUUGGAGACAAAUAUCAAAUAUUACCGGGUUACUUUUUACUUUUAAUAUUUACCAUUGCGAAAAAAAAAUUUAAGGUGAAAUAAUC